UCAGAGGCUACAACUUCCAUAGAAGGUGCUGGCACUUCUGGAGUUGGAUUCAAAACAGAGGCCACAACAUUCCCAGGAGAAAAUGAAACAACCAGAGUUGGAAUCGCCACUGGUACUACUGGUAUAGUCUCUAGAAAGACACUGGAACCUGGAAGUUAUAACACAGAGGCCACAACUUCCAUAGGGAGAAGUGGGACCACCCACACAGAUCUUCCAGGAGGUACCACCAUAGUUUUACCUGGAUUCAGCCAUAGUUCACAGAGUUCCAAGCCAGGCAGUUCUGUCACCACACCAGGGAGCCCAGAGUCUGGAAGUGAAACAGGUACUUCAGGAGAAUUCUCUACGACAGUCAUAUCUGGAAGUUCCCACACAGAGGCCACAACUUUCAUAGGAGGCAGUGGCUCACCUGGAACUGGAUCCAGACCUGGUACCACUGGAGAAUUGUCUGGAACCACUAUUGCAUCUGGAAAUGCUACCACAGAGGCCACAACUUCCACAGAGACUAGAAUUGGACCUCAAACAGGAGCCCAGACCACUGUACCAGGGAGCCAGGUCUCUGGCAGUGAAACAGGUACCAGUGAAGCAGUUUCCAACCCAGCUAUUGCAUCUGGGAGUUCCAGCACUGGAACGACCUCUGGAGCAUCAGACAGUCAAGUCACUGGAAGUAGAACAGGUACCACAGGUGUGGUCUUAGGUACCACAGUUGCACCUGGAAGUUCUAGUACAGGAGCUACCACUGGAGUACUGAUAAAUGAAGGAACUAGAAGCACAUCAUUAGGUACCACGAGGGUAGCUUCUGGCACUACAUAUGAAUCUGGGACUUCUAACUCAGUGCCCUCUGGAGGCAGUGGGACACCAGGAAGUGGAAUAAAUACAGGGGGAUCUAGUACCCAAGUCACUGGCAUUCAAACAGGUACUACUGCAGUGGGUUUUGGCAGCACCCUCUUACCUGGAAGUUCCAACACAGGAGCUACCACCAGCCCAUCUGAGAGGACAAGCCCUGGAAGUAAAACAGGUAUCACUCGUGUAGUCUCUGGUACAACAGUAGCAUCUGGAAGCUCUAACACAGGGGCCACUACGUCUUUAGGAAGAGGUGAAACCACCCAGGGUGGAAUUAAAAUAGUUAUCACCGGGGUGACUGUUGGCACAACUGUCGCACCUGGGAGUUUCAACACAAAGGCUACAACUCCUACAGAAGUCAGAGCUGCCACUGGAGCUGGAACGGCAGUUGGGGCUACUUCAAGAUCCACUGGAAUUUCCACGGGCCCAGAAAAUUCCACUCCUGGUACCACUGAGACAGGCUCUGGUACUACAUCCUCACCUGGAGGUGUCAAAACAGAAGCCACAACUUUUAAAGGUGUUGGAACCACUGAAGCAGGGAUUUCAUCAGGCAAUAGCCCAGGAUCAGGAGGAGUCACCAGUAGCCAAGAAGGUACCUCCAGGGAAGCAUCUGAAACAACUACUGCUCCUAGAAUUUCUGCCACAGGCUCCACCUCAGUGUCAAAUGAAAUCACAGCAAGCCCCAAAGUAUCCUCCCCAGGUAAACUGAAAUGACUCAAAUGCACUAGAAUGAAUUGUUUCUUCCACCUGUAG
rnacentral:lncRNA from 1 species